rnacentral:rRNA from 1 species
AAUCAACGCUGGCGGCGUGCCUCAGGCAUGCAAGUCGAACGAUUAAAGCUCUCUUCGGAGAGUGUAUAGAGUGGCGCACGGGUGAGUAACACGUAAGUAAUCUACCUUUGAGUGGGGAAUAACAGUCGGAAACGACUGCUAAUACCGCAUAAUGCAGCGGCAUCGCAAGAUGACAGUUGUUAAAGGAGCAAUCCGCUUAAAGAGGAGCUUGCGGCAGAUUAGCUUGUUGGUAAGGUAACGGCUUACCAAGGCUACGAUCUGUAUCCGGUCUAAGAGGACGGUCGGACACACUGACACUGAAUAACGGGUCAGACUCCUACGGGAGGCAGCAGUCGGGAAUUUUGGGCAAUGGGCGAAAGCCUGACCCAGCAACGCUGCGUGAAGGAUGAAGUAUUUCGGUAUGUAAACUUCGAAAGAAUGGGAAGAAUCAAUGACGGUACCAUUUAUAAGCUCCGGCUAACUACGUGCCAGCCGCCGCAGUAAC